CCUACGGUGUGGCAGCAGUGGGGAAUAUUGGACAAUGGGCGAAAGCCUGAUCCAGCCAUGCCGCGUGUGUGAAGAAGGCCUUCGGGUUGUAAAGCACUUUCAGUGGGGAAGAAAGCCUUGGGGCUAAUACCCUCGAGGAAGGACAUCACCCACAGAAGAAGCACCGGCUAACUCCGUGCCAGCAGCCGCGGUAAUACGGAGGGUGCGAGCGUUAAUCGGAAUUACUGGGCGUAAAGCGCGCGUAGGCGGUCUGAUAAGCCGGUUGUGAAAGCCCCGGGCUCAACCUGGGAACGGCAUCCGGAACUGUCAGGCUAGAGUGCAGGAGAGGAAGGUAGAAUUCCCGGUGUAGCGGUGAAAUGCGUAGAGAUCGGGAGGAAUACCAGUGGCGAAGGCGGCCUUCUGGACUGACACUGACGCUGAGGUGCGAAAGCGUGGGUAGCAAACAGGAUUAGAUACCCUUGUAGUC
rnacentral:rRNA from 1 species